GAGUUUGAUCCUGGCUCAGAUUGAACGCUGGCGGAAUGCUUUACACAUGCAAGUCGAACGGCAGCACGGGUGCUUGCACCUGGUGGCGAGUGGCGAACGGGUGAGUAAUACAUAGGAACAUACCCAGUAAUGGGGGAUAACGCCGAGAAAUCGGUGCUAAUACCGCAUACGCCCUACGGGGGAAAGCGGGGGAUCUUCGGACCUCGCGUUAUUGGAUUGGCCUAUGUCUGAUUAGCUAGUUGGUGAGGUAAAGGCUCACCAAGGCUUCGAUCAGUAGCUGGUCUGAGAGGAUGAUCAGCCACACUGGAACUGAGACACGGUCCAGACUCCUACGGGAGGCAGCAGUGGGGAAUUUUGGACAAUGGGCGAAAGCCUGAUCCAGCCAUUCCGCGUGAGUGAAGAAGGCCUUCGGGUUGUAAAGCUCUUUCGGCAGGAACGAAAUGGUCACGGUUAAUAACUGUGACUUCUGACGGUACCUGAAGAAGAAGCACCGGCUAACUACGUGCCAGCAGCCGCGGUAAUACGUAGGGUGCGAGCGUUAAUCGGAAUUACUGGGCGUAAAGCGUGCGCAGGCGGUUUUGUAAGUCAGAUGUGAAAGCCCCGGGCUUAACCUGGGAAUGGCGUUUGAAACUACAAGGCUAGAGUGUGUC
rnacentral:rRNA from 1 species